rnacentral:rRNA from 1 species
AGUGAUCCUGGCUCAGAUUGAACGCUGGCGGCAGGCCUAACACAUGCAAGUCGAGCGGAUGAAAGGAGCUUGCUCCUGGAUUCAGCGGCGGACGGGUGAGUAAUGCCUAGGAAUCUGCCUGGUAGUGGGGGACAACGUUUCGAAAGGAACGCUAAUACCGCAUACGUCCUACGGGAGAAAGCAGGGGACCUUCGGGCCUUGCGCUAUCAGAUGAGCCUAGGUCGGAUUAGCUAGUUGGUGAGGUAAUGGCUCACCAAGGCGACGAUCCGUAACUGGUCUGAGAGGAUGAUCAGUCACACUGGAACUGAGACACGGUCCAGACUCCUACGGGAGGCAGCAGUGGGGAAUAUUGGACAAUGGGCGAAAGCCUGAUCCAGCCAUGCCGCGUGUGUGAAGAAGGUCUUCGGAUUGUAAAGCACUUUAAGUUGGGAGGAAGGGCAGUAAAUUAAUACUUUGCUGUUUUGACGUUACCGACAGAAUAAGCACCGGCUAACUCUGUGCCAGCAGCCGCGGUAAUACAGAGGGUGCAAGCGUUAAUCGGAAUUACUGGGCGUAAAGCGCGCGUAGGUGGUUUGUUAAGUUGGAUGUGAAAUCCCCGGGCUCAACCUGGGAACUGCAUCCAAAACUGGCAAGCUAGAGUAUGGUAGAGGGUGGUGGAAUUUCCUGUGUAGCGGUAAAUGCGUAGAUAUAGGAAGGAACACCAGGCGAAGGCGACCACCGAC